UAUUAUUAUUAAUAAUAAUUAACUCUCCUAAUCUCCUAUUUAAAUCAUUUUUGAGAAUUCUCAUGUAGAAUUUCAUAUCUUUGUCAUGUCAGUCACUACAAAAAAAAAUUGCAAUGGCCACCACAGUUAGCGUCGGCGCCAAAAUGCCGUCGCCGUUGGUUAUAGAUUUGCUAAGGGAAACAAGGUGUCGCAAAAUUAAAAUUAUUUUGCGACGGCAAAGGAGAGCCGUAGCAUAAAAAUGCUUCAAUUGCGACGGGAUUAAAGAUGUCAUAGCAAAGUUUUUCCUUAUUCUUGCUUCGCUACCAUUGCCGUAGCCUUUAUAAUUUUGCAGAUAUACUAUUUGGGUGUUAAAAUCACUCUACAAAGAGUUUGUGCCAAAAAUUUCUAUGGAACAGUCUGAGAGAGAGGAAGAACGCGCCCCGCGCGCGCGAGAGAGAGAGUGAGAGAGGAGAAAACAGUACAGUUAGUCAGUUCUCUCCCGGUCGAACGCCGCCGGCGCUCCAGCUGCUGCGUUCCCGUCCGGGAGAGGAUGUGGGUCUGGGAUGGCAGCGUUUGUCGUUGGCGGAAGCGAGUUCCAUGGCUGGAGUUAGGAGGGCCGAGCUCGGGUCUGGCAGAUCCUUUUCGAUCUGUCUUCUCUGAAUCGUGGCCGAUGGCAGACGAGGGGGGCGCUUGAUUGAGGCUUGCCGGCGGUGAUAUCUGGUGUCUCUGCUGCAUCGGAGAUCUGUGCGGCAACUGGAUGCUCGAUCCCAUGCCAGAGGUGAGGCUGGUGCGGACCUGGCUCCUUUUCGGAUCUGGGUUCGGACGUGGAUAGGGUUCUGGGGUGGCCUUCGUUGAGUUUAGGUGGCGCGGCGGCGCAGGGAUGUGGUGCGGCGGCGUAGUGGCCCAAGGAGGCGAUCUGAUGCCGGGG
rnacentral:lncRNA from 1 species